UACGAAGGGGGCUAGCGUUGCUCGGAAUCACUGGGCGUAAAGGGCGCGUAGGCGGAUCUUUAAGUCAGGGGUGAAAUCCUGGAGCUCAACUCCAGAACUGCCUUUGAUACUGGCGAUCUUGAGUCCGGGAGAGGUGAGUGGAACUGCGAGUGUAGAGGUGAAAUUCGUAGAUAUUCGCAAGAACACCAGUGGCGAAGGCGGCUCACUGGCCCGGUACUGACGCUGAGGUGCGAAAGCGUGGGGAGCAAACAGG
rnacentral:rRNA from 1 species